GCAAACUUGGUCAUUUAGAGGAAGUAAAAGUCGUAACAAGGUCUCCGUAGGUGAACCUGCGGAGGGAUCAUUACUGAGUUUUUAACUCCCAAACCAUUGUGAACUUACCACUGUUGCCUCGGCGGCAGGUCUUUCUUUACGGGAAGGCAGCCGCCGGUGGACUACUAAACUCUUGUUAAUUUUUGUCAAUUCUGAAUUAAAAACUUAAUAAGUUAAAACUUUCAACAACGGAUCUCUUGGUUCUGGCAUCGAUGAAGAACGCAGC
rnacentral:misc_RNA from 1 species